AAAAGGGUAUAUGAAACCAGGAGACCCUCUGGCUGGUUUAUGGGCCCAAAAUCUUUCUGGGAAGGUCACAAAUCUCCAGAUAUCUCCACACAUUAAGUUUUGCACUUGGAUUUCUAAUUUAGCUGAAAGAUGUGUAAAACCACAUGCAGUCAGACAGCUCCUUGGCUAUACAUCUGAGGAAGCUCAAAGCAUAAGUUAUGACUUCCAAAGUCAAUUGUAACUUAUGCUCACUAAAUUGGCUCCAGAUCCACCCUUUUCAGACAGUAGUAUUGGAAUAAUUUAUUCUUUUGGUGAAAAGCACCCAUUUAAACUAAACCACACCCCCAGCUGGGAGUCUCACCAGCAGAAGUGCCAAAGGCAGAGGGAUUCAGAGGCGCACAGGGCUAUUGGAGGCCAGCGGAACAGGGGUGAAUAAAGCACAGUAUGUAAUAGUGUCUGUCAGCACGCUGAAACGUAUAACCUCUCCCUAACAUAGGGGGUCUGCAACAAAAAUCUGAGAGGAAAAUUUGUUCCUGCGGUUCAAUCAUCACGUUAGACAAAGAGGUUUCCUUGCUUUUAACAUCCAUGCAAUUUAUACCAGAAAUCUUACGGAUAGCGGUGAAACCAUUGCAGCUUUCUGGGGACCUAAUGUUUUGAUCUAAGCCCUCAGUGUGUAUCUUGUUUUCUCCCAUCAAGAAAAUGCUGUACAUAAAUAUGGCACAAGGGGGAUGAAAGCUGUAAGUUUAGACAUCUAACCCAGAUGCCAAGUUAAAAGCCUAGCCAAUGAAGAGGUACAAAAUCUACAUAAACUAGGAGCUUUUCUUUCACUAAUUACAGUGGCAGCCUGAGUUAAAUGGCUUACAUGAAUUCAUCCCCUUCCAAUGGCAGCAGUGAUUUGAAGCGGUUUGCUUCACCAGAGAGUUAACUUCCCCGUGAAAGUUUGCUUCACGAGCUACCUAUGUAAACACUGACAUACACAUCUUGCAAAGACUUUUCUUUCCCCAGGUGAACUGCUGCAUCACCAGAUACCCAACAGGAAUCUCCUCCUUUAAGAUCCUUAAUAGCAGCAGCUGCUGAAGGGAAAGGAACUGUAGAGACGCACUUGUUGCCAAACUGUGCAUUUAGAUGGAAGGAGGAGAAACAGAUGGGGAAAUCACUCUUCAGACAGUAUUUACUAGCACAAUCAGCACCUGAGGCAGCACUUACUCAGGUGCUGAAAUUACAGAGAUACUGGGGAGGAGCAUGGAAGAAGAGAAUCAAUGAUUAAGUGAUGGAGAAAGUGCCAUGCUCUGGAUCCAUAAGGACAAAAUGGGCAGAAAUAGGGACUACACUUGCAAAAUAAUUGGGACGUCUCUCUGUUGUGAGGUAGGUGUUCUCACUGAUGAUCCUAGAGAUGUUUAUGUGUCAUUAAGAUGAUGAAAGGAGCUUUAACACCUGCCUGGUUGUAGGGAAACAGUGCCCUAUCAAGACCUAGAUCAUGCUACCUGUAAUAAAGUACUUAUAGGAUGAAAACAAA